CGAUGGUCGAGGUCGUCUUCGCGGCGACGGCCGGGUUGAGGUCCUUGUGCACGGCGCGGGCGACGGCCUGGAUGGUGUUGAUGCCGUCGUUCAUCGUC
rnacentral:tRNA from 1 species